rnacentral:rRNA from 1 species
AUGAACGCUGGCGGCGUGCCUAAUACAUGCAAGUCGAGCGAACGGACGAGAAGCUUGCUUCUCUGAUGUUAGCGGCGGACGGGUGAGUAACACGUGGAUAACCUACCUAUAAGACUGGGAUAACUUCGGGAAACCGGAGCUAAUACCGGAUAAUAUUUUGAACCGCAUGGUUCAAAAGUGAAAGACGGUCUUGCUGUCACUUAUAGAUGGAUCCGCGCUGCAUUAGCUAGUUGGUAAGGUAACGGCUUACCAAGGCAACGAUGCAUAGCCGACCUGAGAGGGUGAUCGGGCACACUGGAACUGAGACACGGUCCAGACUCCUACGGGAGGCAGCAGUAGGGAAUCUUCCGCAAUGGGCGAAAGCCUGACGGAGCAACGCCGCGUGAGUGAUGAAGGUCUUCGGAUCGUAAAACUCUGUUAUUAGGGAAGAACAUAUGUGUAAGUAACUGUGCACAUCCUGACGGUACCUAAUCAGAAAGCCACGGCUAACUACGUG